AUCGGUGCAAACCGGAACCUCCCAAGAUAUUACCCAUGAGGGGCACCGACGUCGGGGGAAACCCUCCCGUAAAAAAGCGGGAUAGAGCGAAAGACAAAGACCGGAACAAAACGAAAGCGCCGCAGUUGGCGCUUUCGUUUU
rfam:Escherichia hermannii NBRC 105704 DNA, contig: EH10570402.